rnacentral:rRNA from 1 species
AACGAACGCUGGCGGCGUGCCUAACACAUGCAAGUCGAACGAGAAAGGGGCUUCGGCUCCGAGUAAAGUGGCGCACGGGUGAGUAACACGUGGGUAACCUGCCUCUAAGAUUGGGAUAACUCGUCGAAAGAUGAGCUAAUACCGGAUAAGACCACAGUUCCCGCGGGAACAGGGGUCAAAGGUAGCCUCUGCUUGCAAGCUAUCACUUAGAGAUGGGCCUGCGCACCAUUAGCUAGUUGGUAGGGUAACGGCCUACCAAGGCAAAGAUGGUUAGCUGGUCUGAGGGGAUGAUCAGCCACACUGGAACUGAGACACGGUCCAGACUCCUACGGGAGGCAGCAGUGGGGAAUAUUGCGCAAUGGGCGAAAGCUUGACGCAGCAACGCCGCGUGAGUGAUGAAGGCCUUCGGGUCGUAAAGCUCUGUCGGGAGGAACGAAUGCUCCCAAGGUUAACAGCCUCGGGAGGUGACGGUACCUUCAAAGGAAGCACCGGCUAACUCUGUGCCAGCCGCCGCCGUAAAAC